rnacentral:rRNA from 1 species
UAAGGAAUAUUGGUCAAUGGGGGCAACCCUGAACCAGCCAUGCCGCGUGCAGGAUGACUGCCCUAUGGGUUGUAAACUGCUUUUGUCCAGGAAUAAACACCCCUACGUGUAGGGGCUUGAAUGUACUGGAAGAAUAAGGAUCGGCUAACUCCGUGCCAGCAGCCGCGGUAAUACGGAGGAUCCAAGCGUUAUCCGGAUUUAUUGGGUUUAAAGGGUGCGUAGGCGGUCUUAUAAGUCAGUGGUGAAAUACGGCAGCUCAACUGUCGCAGUGCCUUUGAUACUGUAGGACUUGAAUACACUUGAAGUGGGCGGAAUAAGACAAGUAGCGGUGAAAUGCAUAGAUAUGUCUUAGAACUCCGAUUGCGAAGGCAGCUCACUAAGGUGUGAUUGACGCUGAUGCACGAAAGCGUGGGGAUCAAACAGG